AGUUGCAGUUGGCGGGUCGAUUUUGCGAGUGGUCUUCAAAACCGUCGUGGCGGCGCUGUCGCCGUGGGUUCAAAUCCCACACCCA
rnacentral:tRNA from 1 species